rnacentral:rRNA from 1 species
AGGGCACCACCAGGCGUGGAGCCUGCGGCUUAAUUUGACUCAACACGGGGAAACUCACCAGGUCCAGACACAAGGAGGAUUGACAGAUUGAGAGCUCUUUCUUGAUUUUGUGGGUGGUGGUGCAUGGCCGUUCUUAGUUGGUGGAGUGAUUUGUCUGCUUAAUUGCGAUAACGAACGAGACCUUAACCUGCUAAAUAGCCAGGCCCGCUUCGGCGGGUCGCCGGCUUCUUAGAGGGACUAUCGGCUCAAGCCGAUGGAAGUUUGAGGCA